UCCUGUGCAAUCUGAAUGCAGCCUGUUCGGUUGACACUGCCGCGGCUCACCUGAGGCACCACUGGCUUUCAGUGGACAUCCAUGUUCUGAUGUGACUGUUCAGAAGUUAGCAGAGAAGUUGCUCAAUGUUUUCCAAGUACCUGCUUUGAAUUCAGCACUAAAUAACAAGCUGAGGUCUGCUGCGCUGCCAUUUUUGGUGAGGUUUCAAACGGCCUAUUUCUGUGCGAUGAUGAAUGUUAAUAAUUGCUGUAAGUAUGCUAUUAGUCAAAAUGAAGCAGAAAGAGACCCAAUUAUUGAACUAGACUGCUGUGACUGGAAUCUAUAGCUGAUAUAUUAAAGCCCAACUGUCAUGCUUAAUAAUUAACUCAAGCCGCUGGCAAUUCUGCAAAAGAAAAUGAACAUUAAUAAUGAGUUAACUGAUCAUUAUUUCUUUUUCCCCAUACCAUUGGAACAGCGUCCUGCAGUAUAUCAAUUAAACAGUACGAUAAUUUGACAUCAUAUGAACUCUCUUUUCACGUGUACUUUCCUACCUCCUCCUUUCCCAACACCACUUCUAUGUAAUUACUGCUUUUACCAAAAUCUCCAGUUGCUGCCCUUGUCUGUGUAAGUGUUGAAGGAACCAUUACAGGAUGCAAACAUUACCUAAAAUGGCUCUGUUUUCACCUGAACCAAGAGGAAUGAUCCACAUUCAGAUAUAUGUCUCGUUAAGAGCACUUCCUGUGCCUUCAGUCUCCUCAUUCUCUAGGCUGCUUAGCAAAGGAUGGUGAUAGCAGAAAUAAACACCCUAAUGAAGUGAUCCAUGCAUUACAACAUAUGGGCGCCUCCCCAGUUAACCUCCCAGUGAUUACUCCAUCAGGUCUGAAGUGGCUGCUGAUGGGCAGUCCCAGCAGUGAGCUCCUACGGAAUAAACUGGUGGAUGAGGCUCAGUUGGGCUCCUCUCUCAACAGGGGUGAGCAGCAGCCAGCGCUCUGCUGGGGAAGGCACCCCCCCAUGCUGAAGGAAAACCCCAGCUUUGGUGGAGUGGCUCCAUGACCAUGGUCUUCCCAAAGUGUUUCAGAAGCAAGCUGUCCUUUUUCAGUGAUAAAUGUUCUUGCAGGAGGAGGGACAGGCUGCGGUUUGACAUUGCCUGCAGUCCCAUGCUGCAGCUACCUCAAGGGAGUCAUUUCAGUUGGACUUAUCUCCCUCCUCUGGUUGAGCUCUGCCAGCCUCACCUUGCCCUUGCCAAAGUCACCGCCUGGGUUCUGAACUUCCUGAUCUUUGCAAGGGAGUCUGAGCAACAGCAGGACCAUUGCACAAGUUGAGAGUGUUCUCUGAAGUUACUGCAAAGGUGAUGAUUCCCUAGUCUGGGCCCAGGCAAAGCAAGGCUGGAUGCAGAUGGCAGAGGAGAACUGCCCUCCGAAUUAUUCAGAGUUUGGCACCCACCAGAGACCUCGAGGAACCCAAGUACAAGUCUGUACUCCAGGAACCAUUGCCAAGGAGAUCAUUACUCAUUAACUCUGGGAAAUACCAGAGACACCCGAAGCAUUCAAUUUUUAAUGCUGUGGAGGAAGAUGUGGGCACCAGGACAGAGCUCCCACUGGAAGAGUGUUUCUGUGCUUCUGAAACAGUCUCCGUGUUCCUUGGCUGUGGGUUUCCUGUCUAUCUUGUCCUGUGUGGUGGAAAACAAGGCUUGGAAGCAUGAGGAGUGUGAAGCUGCUAAUGCAGAAGGGUGCAGCAGCUUUAUGUCAGGACCAGCCUAUGAAACACAGAGCUGAGUGACCUGGAAAGCCCUAGAUGUGGCUAACUGAAGCCAGCAUCCAAAACCCUGUCCCCACAGUGAUUGCUAUGCUGUCCUCACAGAAACAGUCUCUUGCUGUGAGUGAAAGAGGAGCUUGCCUGCUUUUCUCACCAUGCUUGGUUACAGCUGGGCUUGCAGCUCUCUCUUUGAAGCACGGUGUUGGUUUUGACUGACCACUAAGCAUCACUUAAACGAUAUCUUUAAAAUUACAGUUAUCUCAGAUUUCAAGUGGCUGAUACGCUGGAUUAGUUGUUGUUACGUGCCAACAUUUGAUAGCUUGUAUGGGAAUUUGGAAGAGCAACUAGGGAUAUACUCUCAGCCCCAUUGUAGUGUUGGAGUAAAUGGGCUCUUGAUAAUUUUUCCAAGUGAAUAAAAGUGGGAGGAGAAGGCGCUUGCCAAGAGGAAUAGUUAGCAAUUAAUGAAAAAUAGCCUUGCUCUUUGUAGGCUUCACAGAUGUGAGGAUGGGACAAACAUGUUUCUGGUCCUGAUUCAGCAGGUUCAUGAGGGUCACACAAUUCACAGCACAAAGCACUGGCCUGACCUGCAGCGAGCAGUCCACUGGAGAGCCAUGGAGCUGCAGGGAAGGCUUUGAUCUCUGCGGGCGCCUGCCAGUUGGCCACUGCUGUGUCAGAAAUGCCUGUGCUGCUGGUGAGGAAUGGGAAUGUGAUAAAGAAGAACUUCAGAGCAUGCCGUAUGCAAAGCCUCAGCUUUCUCCUGCCUCCAGAAGCCUAAGCAGCUCCAGAACCAGCUGCGUGGUAAAACUGUGGCUGCCUCACUCCCCCAGACAGCAGAUGCCUCCAUAUAGCAUACGAAGAAACAAGUGAAACCAAGCCUAAAGACCCUCAGUCAAGUUGUAUUAAAUCUUUUGUAGCCACAAAACAUUUCCGCUAGCUGCAGGAACAAAGUAAGGAAACACAUGUAAUUUAUACGGCUGUGCUAGUGCCAGAGGCUGCUUCAGCUGCCUGUGGUGACAGUGGUGGCCGUGUCCUUUAGUAUUGCCCAGGAUGGAGGCCAGCUUUCAAGGACAGCCACCAUGUACUCAACCUGCAGCAAGAACAACGUGGGAAGAGGAGAGUGCCCAGCCGGAAUUUUGCAGAGAGGCACAGGGACAAACACCCUGUGUGCUCAAAGCACGUUUAAAAUGCUUGUGCUGUUCAGUCAGUCAUGCAGGAUUUCCCUAAGGAGCUGAGCAGUAGGUGCAAAAUGAAGUCCAAGAGGCUGCAGGUCUAAUGAGGUCCUACCACCCCGCACAGAGCUGGAGCCUGAAUGCAAGAAAAGAGAUCAAAAGGGACUGGCUCCCCACUCUGGGUGCUGGCAGACGGCUCACAGGCCAGUGAGCCGGUAUGGAUAAGCUUCAUCUGUACUUCUGCUGAAGGCAGCAAAGAGAAUAAGGCUUAGAGCUGCCCUGGCAUUUCCACUGCAUUCAUCACUGCUGUGCUGGGAGCACAAACAGGAUCUCGGGCGAGUCCUUGUUUCCCUCUUCUCGACAUUGGGAGCAGAAAGAAGAAAUAUACCAUUUUCCUUGGCUUCCUUUUGGACUAUCUUCCUGAAAGCAAAAAACCUGUGAAUAUUCAUCACUUUUAGUUUAAUUCAUAGUGCAUUCUCAGAUGGAAGGCUCAAGUAAUUAGCAGGUCCGCUGUUCUGGGAUUUGACAGCAUUGCAACAUCCCCAACUAGAAGCCUGUCAAAGAGCCCUCUGACAAAAGCUUUGUUGUGGUCCAUGUUACAUCUACAACAUCACUGAAAUAUAACCUAGCUGUUGUGACUAGAGAGGUGCACUGAGUCAGUGCCUUGCAUAAGCUGAAGCAUCGCUUUAGCAUUUGAAGGUAAAGGUCUACACAAAAUGAAAAGACAACACGAGCUCAGGCUUCCACAGGGUUUUAAGCUCUUGGUACUAAGGAUGCAUUUACAUCUCAAGCAGACUCCUGGUAACUGCGGACAAACUUGACUCUAUUCACAGCUCUCACCCACUCCUCAAGCCCACGCACGCUUCCCGCACAGCGCCUUGCGCACAGAUAUGUCUCAUUAAGAAGUGAGUUGAUUAUCUUUUCCCUUAAAUAACA